rnacentral:rRNA from 2 species
UACGUAUGGUGCAAGCGUUAUCCGGAUUUACUGGGUGUAAAGGGAGCGUAGACGGAGAGGCAAGUCUGAAGUGAAAGCCCGGGGCUCAACCCCGGGACUGCUUUGGAAACUGCAGUUCUAGAGUGCCGGAGAGGUAAGCGGAAUUCCUAGUGUAGCGGUGAAAUGCGUAGAUAUUAGGAGGAACACCAGUGGCGAAGGCGGCUUACUGGACGGUGACUGACGUUGAGGCUCGAAAGCGUGGGGAGCAAACAGG